GUCCUAGCCGUAAACGAUGGAAACUAAGUAUUGAGAAUUUAACAGUACUGUAGCUAACGCGUUAAGUUUCCAGCCUGGGAAGUACGCUCGCAAGAGUGAAACUCAAAGAAUUGACGGGGCCCGCACAAGCGGUGGAGCAUGUGGUUUAAUUCGAUGCAACGCGAAGAACCUUACCGGGGAUUGACAUUUUGAGCAUUUUUGGAAACAGAAAGUACAAACGCAUAAACAGGUGGUGCAUGGCUGUCGU
rnacentral:rRNA from 1 species